GCUCACUUUGGCAGGGCAUAUUCUAAUGUUAGGGCAAUACAGAGAAGAUUAGCAUGAGCCCUGGGCAAGGAUGAUAUGCAAAUUCUUGAAGUGUUCCAUAUUUUU
rnacentral:snRNA from 1 species